rfam:Ophiophagus hannah scaffold85.1, whole genome shotgun sequence.
GUGCUCACUUCAGCAGCAUAUAUACUAAAAUUGGAAGGACACAGAGAAGAUUAGCAUGGCCC